rnacentral:rRNA from 1 species
CAGCCGCCGCGGUAAUACGUAGGGUGCAAGCGUUAAUCGGAAUUACUGGGCGUAAAGCGUGCGCAGGCGGUUAUAUAAGACAGAUGUGAAAUCCCCGGGCUCAACCUGGGAACUGCAUUUGUGACUGUAUAGCUAGAGUACGGCAGAGGGGGAUGGAAUUCCGCGUGUAGCAGUGAAAUGCGUAGAUAUGCGGAGGAACACCGAUGGCGAAGGCAAUCCCCUGGGCCUGUACUGACGCUCAUGCACGAAAGCGUGGGGAGCAAACAGGAUUAGAUACCCGUGUAGUCCCUGUCUCUUAUAU